rnacentral:rRNA from 1 species
AGGACGAACGCUGGCGGCGUGCUUAACACAUGCAAGUCGAGCGGAAAGGCCCUUCGGGGUACUCGAGCGGCGAACGGGUGAGUAACACGUGAGCAACCUGCCCCUGGCUCUGGGAUAGCCUCCGGAAACGGGGAUUAAUACCGGAUAUUCACUGCUUCCUGCAUGGGGGGUGGAUGGAAAGUUUUCGGCUAGGGCGGGGCUCGCGGCCUAUCAGCUUGUUGGGGGGGUGGACGGCCCACCAAGGCGACGACGGGUA